ACGAGGAAGGGCGUAGCAAGUGACGAAAUGCUCCGGGGAGUUGAAAAUAAGCAUAGAUCCGGAGAUUCCCAAAUAGGUCAACCUUUUAAACUGCCUGCUGAAUCCAUGAGCAGGCAAGAGACAACCUGGCGAACUGAAACAUCUUGGUAGCCAGAGGAAAAGAAAGGAUAAUG
rnacentral:ncRNA from 1 species